UACGAAGGGGGCUAGCGUUGCUCGGAAUUACUGGGCGUAAAGCGCACGUAGGCGGAUUGUUAAGUCGGGGGUGAAAUCCUGGAGCUCAACUCCAGAACUGCCUUCGAUACUGGCGAUCUCGAGUUCGGGAGAGGUGAGUGGAACUGCGAGUGUAGAGGUGAGAUUCGUAGAUAUUCGCAAGAACACCAGUGGCGAAGGCGGCUCACUGGCCCGAUACUGACGCUGAGGUGCGAAAGCGUGGGGAGCAAACAGG
rnacentral:rRNA from 1 species